rnacentral:rRNA from 1 species
GAAACAUCUUCGGGUUGUGAGGUUAAGCGACUAAGCGUACACGGUGGAUGCCCUGGCAGUCAGAGGCGAUGAAGGACGUGCUAAUCUGCGAUAAGCGUCGGUAAGGUGAUAUGAACCGUUAUAACCGGCGAUUUCCGAAUGGGGAAACCCAGUGUGUUUCGACACACUAUCAUUAACUGAAUCCAUAGGUUAAUGAGGCGAACCGGGGGAACUGAAACAUCUAAGUACCCCGAGGAAAAGAAAUCAACCGAGAUUCCCCCAGUAGCGGCGAGCGAACGGGGAGCAGCCCAGAGCCUGAAUCAGUGUGUGUGUUAGUGGAAGCGUCUGGAAAGGCGCGCGAUACAGGGUGACAGCCCCGUACACAAAAAUGCACAUGCUGUGAGCUCGAUGAGUAGGGCGGGACACGUGGUAUCCUGUCUGAAUAUGGGGGGACCAUCCUCCAAGGCUAAAUACUCCUGACUGACCGAUAGUGAACCAGUACCGUGAGGGAAAGGCGAAAAGAACCCCGGCGAGGGGAGUGAAAAAGAACCUGAAACCGUGUACGUACAAGCAGUGGGAGCACGCUUAGGCGUGUGACUGCGUACCUUUUGUAUAAUGGGUCAGCGACUUAUAUUCUGUAGCAAGGUUAACCGAAUAGGGGAGCCGAAGGGAAACCGAGUCUUAACUGGGCGUUAAGUUGCAGGGUAUAGACCCGAAACCCGGUGAUCUAGCCAUGGGCAGGUUGAAGGUUGGGUAACACUAACUGGAGGACCGAACCGACUAAUGUUGAAAAAUUAGCGGAUGACUUGUGGCUGGGGGUGAAAGGCCAAUCAAACCGGGAGAUAGCUGGUUCUCCCCGAAAGCUAUUUAGGUAGCGCCUCGUGAAUUCAUCUCCGGGGGUAGAGCACUGUUUCGGCAAGGGGGUCAUCCCGACUUACCAACCCGAUGCAAACUGCGAAUACCGGAGAAUGUUAUCACGGGAGACACACGGCGGGUGCUAACGUCCGUCGUGAAGAGGGAAACAACCCAGACCGCCAGCUAAGGUCCCAAAGUCAUGGUUAAGUGGGAAACGAUGUGGGAAGGCCCAGACAGCCAGGAUGUUGGCUUAGAAGCAGCCAUCAUUUAAAGAAAGCGUAAUAGCUCACUGGUCGAGUCGGCCUGCGCGGAAGAUGUAACGGGGCUAAACCAUGCACCGAAGCUGCGGCAGCGACGCUUAUGCGUUGUUGGGUAGGGGAGCGUUCUGUAAGCCUGUGAAGGUGUGCUGUGAGGCAUGCUGGAGGUAUCAGAAGUGCGAAUGCUGACAUAAGUAACGAUAAAGCGGGUGAAAAGCCCGCUCGCCGGAAGACCAAGGGUUCCUGUCCAACGUUAAUCGGGGCAGGGUGAGUCGACCCCUAAGGCGAGGCCGAAAGGCGUAGUCGAUGGGAAACAGGUUAAUAUUCCUGUACUUGGUGUUACUGCGAAGGGGGGACGGAGAAGGCUAUGUUGGCCGGGCGACGGUUGUCCCGGUUUAAGCGUGUAGGCUGGUUUUCCAGGCAAAUCCGGAAAAUCAAGGCUGAGGCGUGAUGACGAGGCACUACGGUGCUGAAGCAACAAAUGCCCUGCUUCCAGGAAAAGCCUCUAAGCAUCAGGUAACAUCAAAUCGUACCCCAAACCAACACAGGUGGUCAGGUAGAGAAUACCAAGGCGCUUGAGAGAACUCGGGUGAAGGAACUAGGCAAAAUGGUGCCGUAACUUCGGGAGAAGGCACGCUGAUAUGUAGGUGAAGCGACUUGCUCGUGGAGCUGAAAUCAGUCGAAGAUACCAGCUGGCUGCAACUGUUUAUUAAAAACACAGCACUGUGCAAACACGAAAGUGGACGUAUACGGUGUGACGCCUGCCCGGUGCCGGAAGGUUAAUUGAUGGGGUCAGCGCAAGCGAAGCUCUUGAUCGAAGCCCCGGUAAACGGCGGCCGUAACUAUAACGGUCCUAAGGUAGCGAAAUUCCUUGUCGGGUAAGUUCCGACCUGCACGAAUGGCGUAAUGAUGGCCAGGCUGUCUCCACCCGAGACUCAGUGAAAUUGAACUCGCUGUGAAGAUGCAGUGUACCCGCGGCAAGACGGAAAGACCCCGUGAACCUUUACUAUAGCUUGACACUGAACAUUGAGCCUUGAUGUGUAGGAUAGGUGGGAGGCUUUGAAGUGUGGACGCCAGUCUGCAUGGAGCCGACCUUGAAAUACCACCCUUUAAUGUUUGAUGUUCUAACGUUGACCCGUAAUCCGGGUUGCGGACAGUGUCUGGUGGGUAGUUUGACUGGGGCGGUCUCCUCCUAAAGAGUAACGGAGGAGCACGAAGGUUGGCUAAUCCUGGUCGGACAUCAGGAGGUUAGUGCAAUGGCAUAAGCCAGCUUGACUGCGAGCGUGACGGCGCGAGCAGGUGCGAAAGCAGGUCAUAGUGAUCCGGUGGUUCUGAAUGGAAGGGCCAUCGCUCAACGGAUAAAAGGUACUCCGGGGAUAACAGGCUGAUACCGCCCAAGAGUUCAUAUCGACGGCGGUGUUUGGCACCUCGAUGUCGGCUCAUCACAUCCUGGGGCUGAAGUAGGUCCCAAGGGUAUGGCUGUUCGCCAUUUAAAGUGGUACGCGAGCUGGGUUUAGAACGUCGUGAGACAGUUCGGUCCCUAUCUGCCGUGGGCGCUGGAGAACUGAGGGGGGCUGCUCCUAGUACGAGAGGACCGGAGUGGACGCAUCACUGGUGUUCGGGUUGUCAUGCCAAUGGCACUGCCCGGUAGCUAAAUGCGGAAGAGAUAAGUGCUGAAAGCAUCUAAGCACGAAACUUGCCCCGAGAUGAGUUCUCCCUGACUCCUUGAGAGUCCUGAAGGAACGUUGAAGACGACGACGUUGAUAGGCCGGGUGUGUAAGCGCAGCGAUGCGUUGAGCUAACCGGUACUAAUGAACCGUGAGGCUUAACCUU